GAGAGGCUUUGUGUGCACAUACAGAAUGAAUAGACACUAGAUGCCGUUAUUUUUAGCCUCCAACAUCGCGCUGUUUGGUUUUUGCGCUUUCGCGUGAUCUUUCAUUAUUAUUAUCAUCACAAUACUAAGAAUUCUACUAAUAACAGUUAUUCUAACAAUAAAGAGUUGGUCAGAUCUCUAUGGCAACAUCGACACGUCGUAGCAUCAUUGAUCGGCGACGGGCUGGGCCGCUCUUAUCGCAUAUUUAUUUAUUUCCCCGUCCCUCGUGCGCGCGCGCCGCGACGUUGUGGGAAACGUGAACGCGCCGAGCUGGAAGGCUUUCACCCACCCAUCAUGGAUUAGUCCUCGCGCAAAAAAAAUACUACAUCAUAAGGCUCUGAAAGCUGAACAUGUCCACUCCGAGUGAGCUCAAGUCUCCGUGUGUGACACGGAACGGCAUGGUCAAGCUGCCUCCCCAACCCAACGGCCUCGGCUCGGCCAGCAUCACUAAGGGCACGCCGGCCGCCAAAAACCGUCUGUGUCAGGCGUCCUCGGUGCCCCCGAGCCUGCCCUACCACUUAGAGGCGCUCCCCAUGGCUACUGAUGCCAGGCAGUACGCCAAGCUGGAGAGGCAGCUGGCCCUGGACGAGAAGGUGUUAAACCGGCUGCUGUGGUACUUCACCACAGCUGAGAAGUGCGCUCUGGCCCAGGUGUGCAAAACGUGGCGUAAAGUCUUGUACCAGCCCAAGUUCUGGGAGGGUGUGACCCCUGUCCUGCAUGCCAAGGAGCUGUAUAAUGCGCUGCCAAACGGCGAGAAGGAGUUUGUGAGCCUGCAGGCCUUCGCUUUACGUGGCUUCCACUCCUUCUGCCUGGUGGGCGUCUCGGACCUGGACAUCUGUGAGUUCAUCGACAACUACCCGCUGUCCAAGAAGGGAGUAAAGUCACUCAGCCUGAAGCGCUCCACCAUCACGGACGCAGGGCUUGAGGUGAUGUUGGAGCAGAUGCAGGGGCUGCUACACCUGGAGCUUUCGGGCUGUAACGACUUCACUGAGGCGGGCCUGUGGUCGAGUCUGAACGCUCGGCUCACGUCGCUGAGCGUCAGCGACUGCAUCAACGUGGCCGACGAUGCCGUAGCGGCGAUCUCGCAGCUCCUGCCCAAUCUGUGUGAGCUGAGCCUGCAGGCAUACCACGUGACCGACACGGCGAUGGCCUACUUCACCGCCAAGCAGGGCUGCACCACGCGUACACUACGCCUGCACUCCUGCUGGGAGAUCACCAACCACGGCGUCGUGAACAUGGUACACAGCUUGCCCAACCUGACCGCACUCAGCCUCUCGGGCUGCUCCAAGAUCACCGACGAUGGCGUCGAGCUUGUGGCCGAGAACUUGCGCAAGCUGCGUAGCCUCGAUCUUUCCUGGUGCCCACGGAUUACAGACGCUGCCCUCGAGUACAUCGCCUGCGAUCUGCACAAGCUUGAGGAACUCGUUCUUGACCGGUGUGUGAGGAUCACAGACACAGGCCUCGGGUAUCUCUCUACCAUGUCCUCACUUCGCAGUCUCUAUUUACGCUGGUGUUGUCAGGUGCAGGACUUUGGCUUGCAGCACUUGUUUGGUAUGAGGAGUCUUCGUCUUCUGUCUCUAGCAGGCUGCCCCCUGCUGACCACCACUGGCCUGUCAGGCUUGAUCCAGUUGCAGGAUCUGGAGGAACUGGAGCUGACCAACUGCCCCGGCGCCACGGCCGAGCUCUUUAAGUACUACUCCCAGCACCUGCCACGCUGCAUGGUCAUCGAGUAGAGAUGAUGAAGAGCCUGCAUCCUCCUCAUCAUCGAAAACAAAAAAAAACCUUCCUCCUUCUUCAGACGAACGAACCAGACUGAUGACUAAACCCCCAAACUCAUCUUGAAACCCACGAGGGGAAAAUCGACGGGAAAAGGAAAAAGACGGAGUCGAAGAUGAGGCAGCUCGAGAGGAAAAUAACGGGAAGCUGGUCAGAAUCUUCCGGAUCUUUUUCCGAUGUAUUCGCUGGCCUCGGCUGAUGUGGGAAAGUGACAUGAAAGCGAGCGACACAAUCCGAGCGAGGCGUCAGGCUUCCAUCACAACCAUCAGCCUUCACACAUGAACCAUGAACCAUGAAGCGAAAUAAAACUUUUUCAUCUCGAUCGUUUUUAUUUUUGGAGUGACAAAACAAGCUCCGGAAAAAAACGAGACAAGGAGAAGCUAGGAAGAAGUACAGAAUGUGAAAGUCACCGAUCUUUUCCCUCUUCGCUAUAUUUACAACUCUGUUUAGUGAAAGUCGCCUCUGAGAAAAUAGAAAAUACUCCGAAUAUUAGCCGUGAACAGCCGCGUCGAUUUUUUUUCCGCGUCAGUGCUGCACGCUUCCUUCCUCGCGCUUCGUUGUCAUGCCGUUCCUCUUGUGUUCCUUUUGGAAAUCUUAUUUUUUUAAAUCGAUAUUUUUGACGAGGAUUACUGUGAAAUGACUGCCGGGAAACGUUUGGGAAUAAAAUACCAUAGAUUUGUUGAAGGAUUUUUUUUUUUUCAUCUCACCGACGAAUUUUGAAGAAUUCCAGUGUCGAUUUUUAGUGCCGCAGGUUUUCAGUAUCGAUCCUCCGCUAAGACGAAGACUCGUUGCGAUGCAGCUGCUACUGUAGAACCUAAACACGGACUAAAUGCAUGGUGCAGUUUUAAAAAAAAUCAUUUUAGACUUUUUUUUUGUUUGUUUGUUUGUUUUCGUUUUUUUUUUCAGCGCAAAAAUAAUAUUUACUCAAAUGUACCAAUCGACGUGGAAAACUGUAGAUAUUUAUAACUCGAUAUCAAUAACCACAGGCCUGCUUUCAAACGCUCGUUUUUCAGUCCGGGUUUGACGGUUUACACUGCGUCUGUGCCUCUCUCAGGCCAUCACCAGGUACAGAUACUGUACACACACACACACACUCAAAAAGUUUGUACCCCCCACCCAGCUUGGCUUUCAAACCCUGUUCUGCGCCACCAUGAUGACAUUUUGUGCGACUGAAUCAUCUCUGAUGUUCCUGUAUAACUUUAAUAAGAACAGAGUCAGGACAUGAAACGAAACGAGACGAAAGAUGGUGGUUGUUUUUAGGAAGGCGCUAUGGACACCUGGUGGAAGAAAUUUUCAGUAAAUUGGAAAAAGUUUUGCCGGCAAAAUGGUUGAAGUUAAAUUUGGCGACGGAGGUUCGUAUGAAUUUACUUAUUUUUAAAGUUUUUUUUUUCCAUGUUGCAGUAUUUACACAUCCACCAGCUCUCUGUAUAGAUGAGAACAGAAGUUCUAUGGAAGUUCUUCCAUUCUGCUAUCCCUCCAUCCAAUAAAAAUAAAUGACAGAGAUACUUAUUAAUAUAUCGCUGAGGAAAAUUAUAUAAACACUUGCAGAUGUUGUAUUACUUGUAAAAAACAAAUGUAGUUUUUACUGUGAACCAAGCUGUUUUUAUGGAGCGAGAGUUUGGAAUGAUGGUGUUUAGCAGAAUCUUCAAUAUUAACUUUUCUUAUUUCCACCCUGAUCUGUAUAUAAGGAAGGCUUAGGAUCUGUUAGGAUACGCCAAAUCAAUGUUUGUGGGCUUGAUAUGCAAAAAAAAACCCACAACAACAACAAUAACAACAAACAACACACCCAGUUUAAUGUCUUGAAGCGAUGAAUUGCAUCAGCUGUGGAUUAUAGAAAGCAGUUCUGAUAUUUACAAUAUUUAGUGACAUGCUAACGUGGGCUAUGUGCAAGCGUAGCAUCAGGUGUGUUUUGAAAAAAUUGUGUUGCCUACUUUGUACACACAAAUAUACACACUCAAAUUUUGAUAUAAAGCACUAACGUUUGACAUAGCAGAGCUCAAGCUAACAAAUAAAAUUUAAAAAACAAUAUACAAUGUACAUAAAUACAGAAUUUUAAUGUUCUAAUAAUCUGAUCAUGGCAUGGGUCAAAAGAAAGCUGGGCAUUUACCACUAUUUCAAAUUGGGUGCAAAAGUUUGUGCCCCCCAUGGUUUUUGAAUGGGAAAAGGCUAAAUUUAGACGAAUUUUACGAUUUAUGUGCAAGUUACAGAAUUUUGAAAUUUUACAUUUGGAAUGUUGGUGUGUCCCUUAACAAGACUGCAGUCAAAAACAUGAGCUAAAAUCAACAGAAAAAAUAUCUGAAAAUAUUUUUCCUCCUGAUUCCUGUCAGACUCCAGACCUGAACUGAGGAUAAAAUUUGCUACAGAUGUAACUGAUAUCAGGAAUAACAGGUUAUGAUGAUGAAAGUUAUGGUUUUAUGUUUGGAAACACAGUUUCUGUGACAUUAAAGUCUUUGAAGGUGGUUUUCAAACCAAACACAAGCUAUUUGAGGAUAUUUAUAAUGCAUACAGAAACUGAUAUUGCUUUCUUUUUAAAAUUUUAACCUACUAACAUUAACAAUUUGAUAUUUUAGUACUUGUGACAAUGAUGGAACAUGUGUAAAAUGGCUUAAUAACUGCUAAAUUGGAAUUCUAACUAACUUUACACCUUAUUUACUUCCACAAUCCAGCUUGCACCUUGACUGAUGUUAAAACUAAUGUCUCCCAAUGCAUUAUGGGAACUCACACAGCUACCUAGCCUGAUCCUAUGUUCACACAAGAAAGCGAAAAAUCACUUUGUGGGUGUGGCCUGACCAGAAUUUUUUCUAUUUAUGAAAUUGUAGUAGGUAUUUACAGCUACUAAAAACAACUGGUUAAACACAAAUAUUUCCAUAAAUAGCACACUGAUCUGUGUGAACUUUGAUGUUGCUGUUACAUACUCAGCUUCAUACAUGAAGAUAAAGAGUCAUUUUUUUUCCACUUAUGUAUGUUGAAGUUUGAACUAGGGAUGCAUCGAUACCGAAACUGGUAUUAGACAUCCAUUUGACAAAUACAAAGAUCUUAAAUAUAAAACUCAGCACGAAGAGUUUAUCGCAAGCAGCACACUAGCUAGGUGAGGAAUAUUUUCUUAUAUUUACAGAAUUUACAAAAGGCUCAAAUAUGUUGUUCUUCAUGAAUAGCCACUAUAGAAAGAUUCAGAACAAAAAAAUUUCUUGCUUAAAUUUUUCUCCACUAAAACUGUACUUAAUCCAAGCUUGCUACCUAAUUCACCGCAAUUUAAAUAAACUUGCUAAUGUUAGAAAAAAAAGAACUCAAUAGCAUAAACACAUGAGUACUUUUAAAACCUAAAAUUUUUUUUUAAAUUUUGUAUCGAUGCAUCCCUUAAAUAAAAUACUGACACAAGGUUCAAUCUUAUGGUAUGUACACUAGCUAGUGAUGAAUUCUGGUGUUUGGGACAUGGCCAUAAUCUUUAGUGGAACACUCCAGAUGCAUGAAUCUGUUCUAUAGAUAAGAAACCUGACCGAUGCUGUACAUUUUUUGUAAUCAGUCAAGCCUCCAGUGAUGAUGGAAGUCCACCAUUUGAAGCAGAUCUGCUCUAUGCUCCCACGUCUGAAUGUUCUGCAUCAUACACGUGUCGCUCACACGAUUACUAACUCCACCGUUCUAACAGGGUCUUGGACAAAAGCUUAGCUUUUUGCUCACAGGGUGAACGUCCCAUUGCGUGACUGUGGCUAAGAAAACGAAGUCUGCCUCACACGGACCAGCUCUCUGACAUCCGACUUCUCUAGGUCAUCAACAUGAAGCUUUUUGAUUAGGCUUUAUUAAUUAUGAUUAUACUUUUUUUUGUUUGUUUUUCCUGUAAAUAAUGCUGUAGUGAAAGAAAAAAAACGUUUCUCAUGGCUGCAGUGCCUUGUCAGACAUGCGUUGUCGUUUUUCCAAUAUGGUUUGGUUCCAGUCUGCACCGUUUUAGUAAAGGUUGUACAAAAGGAAACAUGGCUCUGUGCGCUUGAUUGAUACAACACACACACACACACACACACACACAAUAACAUCUCAUCUUUUAAUGAUAAAAUAUGAUUUUUCCCAAUGGAAUUGAUCUUAUUGCUUUCCGAAAUUAAAGAAAUAAAAUUUAAACCAAAUUUCACAGUGAUAAUAACAGAGCGAUGUUACUGUUACCAGCAUGAAGUUGUUUAUUUUUCUAUAUCAGCAUGCCCUAAAGUUAAUUAUUCCUCCGUUUCCAUUACAUUGUUUUAUGUAUUAAAGAAUGACAUGUCAAAAACUUUAAAUCUGUGUCUAAAUAAGUCUUAGAGUGAUGUGAAAAUGUCCAAAUUAUAACUAAACACAAUAGAAAGGGCAAAAAAGUACCUCCGAAGAGCACCUGACUCUAAAUCUUCCAGUAAAGCAGGUCAGCCACUGCGGCGAAUCGGCUAGCAUAGACCCACACU